CUGCACUGUCACCACUGCUG
rnacentral:misc_RNA from 1 species